AAAAAUAAAAGUUGUCAAAAUUAUGUUUUGACUAUAUUACUAUGUAGAAGAGGAAGAUACGAGCACACUGGUGAAAACAGCGCUACAUUUAAAAAUCA